rnacentral:rRNA from 1 species
UACAGAGGGUGCGAGCGUUGUUCGGAAUUAUUGGGCGUAAAGGGCGCGUAGGCGGUGCCACAAGUCACUUGUGAAAUCCCCGGGCGUUAACUCGGGCCUGCAGGCGAAACUGUGGUGCUGGAGUAUGGGAGAGGUGCGGUGGAACUUCCCGGUGUAGCGGUGAAAUGCGUAGAUAUCGGGAGGAACACCUGUGGCGAAAGCGGCGCACUGGACCAUGAACUGACGCUGAGGCGCGAAAGCUAGG